ensembl:lncRNA
UUCCAGUAAUGCUCUCCAAGCCUGCAGAUGAAAUUCAAAUCUUUGCAAAAAUUGAGGCAUAUUUUCACAUUUGUACCUGCGAUUUCCAUUGCAGAUUGCAGUUGCCUUGGCUAAUGUUUGGCACCUGGCUAAUCUGUUUAAAGAACAUCCCCUGUAACAAAUCAGCCAACUGGGGGGUCUCUUUAGGAAUACUGGAGACCUGGUUUGCAUGCUGUGUGCAGAAGACUAAUGCAGCUGCAGGGCCUGCGCAGUGGGAAGUGUUGCCAUGGUGAGCUGGGUUAUCGGGCCCUGAGAGAGACCAUCCACACAGUCCUCAUGACACAGCAGCUGACAGAGUGAGACGUCCACAGGGAUCAUGUCCACUGGGAACAGUGCUGUGGAGGCAGAGCCUAUGGAGAGCCACAGUGACAGUGUCCAAGAACAAUGUGUCUGCUAAAGUCAUCCAUGUGUGACAGGCUAAGGAAGAGGGAUCUUACGAGGUGUUUGUUUCUCUGAGGGCUGUCAAAGAAGGUAGGGUAGUGAG